GUUUAUGAGCGGGACUUGCGGGGCAUCUUCGGAUGCGCCGGUACCUUCUAGCCGGUCUGCCAACCUGCAAGUUCUUGCUCACCCCU
rnacentral:antisense_RNA from 1 species